UGCUUGAAAGUGUUAUAAGUGCAUGAAAAGUUUUGAUCUUUUAGGAGUUAGUGAAAGUCUAAUACAGGCAA
rnacentral:tRNA from 1 species